GCAGUGUACCCGCGGCAAGACGGAAAGACCCCGUGAACCUUUACUAUAGCUUGACACUGAACAUUGAGCCUUGAUGUGUAGGAUAGGUGGGAGGCUUUGAAGUGUGGACGCCAGUCUGCAUGGAGCCGGCCUUGAAAUACCACCCUUUAAUGUUUGAUGUUCUAACGUGGACCCGUGAUCCGGGUUGCGGACAGUGUCUGGUGGGUAGUUUGACUGGGGCGGUCUCCUCCUAAAGAGUAACGGAGGAGCACGAAGGUUGGCUAAUCCUGGUCGGACAUCAGGAGGUUAGUGCAAUGGCAUAAGCCAGCUUGACUGCGAGCGUGACGGCGCGAGCAGGUGCGAAAGCAGGUCAUAGUGAUCCGGUGGUUCUGAAUGGAAGGGCCAUCGCUCAACGGAUAAAAGGUACUCCGGGGAUAACAGGCUGAUACCGCCCAAGAGUUCAUAUCGACGGCGGUGUUUGGCACCUCGAUGUCGGCUCAUCACAUCCUGGGGCUGAAGUAGGUCCCAAGGGUAUGGCUGUUCGCCAUUUAAAGUGGUACGCGAGCUGGGUUUAGAACGUCGUGAGACAGUUCGGUCCCUAUCUGCCGUGGGCGCUGGAGAACUGAGGGGGGCUGCUCCUAGUACGAGAGGACCGGAGUGGACGCAUCACUGGUGUUCGGGUUGUCAUGCCAAUGGCACUGCCCGGUAGCUAAAUGCGGAAGAGAUAAGUGCUGAAAGCAUCUAAGCACGAAACUUGCCCCGAGAUGAGUUCUCCCUGAGACUUAGAGUCUCCUGAAGGAACGUUGAAGACGACGACGUUGAUAGGCCGGGUGUGUAAGCGCAGCGAUGCGUUGAGCUAACCGGUACUAAUGAACCGUGAGGCUUAACCUU
rnacentral:rRNA from 1 species